UGGGGAAUAUUGGACAAUGGGCGCAAGCCUGAUCCAGCCAUGCCGCGUGAGUGACGAAGGCCUUAGGGUUGUAAAGCUCUUUUGGCGGGGACGAUAAUGACGGUACCCGCAGAAUAAGCCCCGGCUAACUUCGUGCCAGCAGCCGCGGUAAUACGAAGGGGGCUAGCGUUGUUCGGAAUUACUGGGCGUAAAGCGCACGUAGGCGGAUGUGCCAGUCAGGGGUGAAAUCCCGAGGCUCAACCUCGGAACUGCCUCCGAUACAGCACGUCUCGAGUCCGGAAGAGGUGAGUGGAAUUCCUAGUGUAGAGGUGAAAUUCGUAGAUAUUAGGAAGAACACCAGUGGCGAAGGCGGCUCACUGGUCCGGUACUGACGCUGAGGUGCGAAAGCGUGGGGAGCAAACAGGAUUAGAUACCCCAGUAGUCCCUGAGCGGGCUGGCAAGGCGCAU
rnacentral:rRNA from 1 species